GUUGUGAAUGCAAAACACACUGAAGAGACUGCAGCCAGCGCGCACCUCCUUGUACAGCUUACGGUGACAUCAUCACAAGCAUGUGUGACAUCACAGGGUUCUAAACCAUCUUCAGAUCCUUGUAUCCCGUGGACUCCUUCAGAUUCGGUGGACUACUUCAACGACCAGUGUUUUUCUUUGCUUGAUGUUAAUAAAAUGGUUAAUGAGGGCUUGUGGAGGAGCGUUGUUUGUAAUAAAAAAUUUUUUUAAA